GCAUAUGUUCGCAGUUGUGAAAAGUUGUUGUCCAAUAGCACUUUUGGUCGGAUUGAUAUGCUCAGCGAGCUGCGUCUGUAAACGUCUUUCUGUUUUCCAAAUAUACGUUGCAGAACAGCCAAAAUAAAAAAAACUUUUUGUUGUCAUAAAUAACUAUGAAAUUUACAGGAACAGUUAGGCAUCUUUGUAUUUUCUUUAUGCAAUUUUUAACUAAAGUUUCACCUUGUUUACCAAGCCCAAGGUAUGGAACACGUACCCAAACCUUAGGCCUAGUGUCGUUUUCGUCAAAAAAGUUAGUGCGAGAUCGAUCCGUAGAAAAUUUGUUUUUGAGUUUGGAUAUCAAUAAAUUUCUGAUCGCACGAGGAAAGCCAUUCCAAGACAUAAACAUUUUAAGCUUCCAAACUUGGUUUUCAAAUAGUUGACUGGUGCUGCAUAAUUUUGAUGCUCGGUGAAACAAAGAUAUAACCCACGCAGUUUUACGUGAAAAUGGUUCAAAACUAGAAAAAUGCGUGUAUUGUCCAGUGUGCGUACUUUUGUAGUAAACAUCAGUG